CGGGGUGAGUAAUGUCUGGGAAACUGCCUGAUGGAGGGGGAUAACUGCUGGAAACGGUAGCUAAUACCGCAUAACGUCGCAAGACCAAAGAGGGGGACCUUCGGGCCUCUUGCCAUCGGAUGUGCCCAGAUGGGAUUAGCUAGUAGGUGGGUAACGGCUCACCUAGGCGACGAUCCCUAGCUGGUCUGAGAGGAUGGCCAGCCACACUGGAACUGAGACACGGUCCAG
rnacentral:rRNA from 1 species